UUUAUACUCCAUCCGUCCCAAAAUUCUUGUCUUAGGUUUAUCUAGAAAUGAAUGUAUCUAAAUACUAAAACAUGACUAGAUACAUUCAUAUUUAGACAAACCUAAGAAAUGAAUUCUGGGACGGAGGGAGUAUUCA
rfam:Hordeum vulgare subsp. vulgare, WGS project CAJW01000000 data, contig: morex_contig_236295